GACAGAGGGGGCAAGCGUUGCUCGGAAUUACUGGGCGUAAAGGGCGCGUAGGCGGCCCGCUAAGUCGAACGUGAAAUCCCCGGGCUCAACCCGGGAACUGCGUCCGAUACUGGCGGGCUUGAAUCCGGGAGAGGGAUGCGGAAUUCCAGGUGUAGCGGUGAAAUGCGUAGAUAUCUGGAGGAACACCGGUGGCGAAGGCGGCAUCCUGGACCGGUAUUGACGCUGAGGCGCGAAAGCCAGGGGAGCAAACGGG
rnacentral:rRNA from 1 species